UACGUAGGGGGCAAGCGUUGUCCGAAUUCAUUGGGCGUAAAGAGCGUGUAGGCGGCCAGGUAGGUCGGUUGUGAAAACUGGAGGCUCAACCUUCAGAGGUCGACCGAAACCAUCUGGCUAGAGUCCGGGAGAGGAGAGUGGAAUUCCUGGUGUAGCGGUGAAAUGCGCAGAUAUCAGGAAGAACACCCGUGGCUAAGGCGGUUCUCUAGUACGGUACUGACGCUGAGACGCGAAAGCGUGGGGAGCGAACAGG
rnacentral:rRNA from 1 species